rnacentral:rRNA from 1 species
CCUACGGGUGGCAGCAGUGAGGAAUAUUGGUCAAUGGGCGAGAGCCUGAACCAGCCAAGUCGCGUGAAGGAUGACGGCCCUACGGGUUGUAAACUUCUUUUGUCAGGGAGCAAAAGACGCUACGCGUGGCGUUCCGCGCGUCCCCGAAGAAAAAGCAUCGGCUAACUCCGUGCCAGCAGCCGCGGUAAUACGGAGGAUGCGAGCGUUAUCCGGAUUUAUUGGGUUAAACGGGUGCGCAGGCGGAAGCUCAAGUCAGCGGUAAAAUUGAGAGGCAAAACCGGGUCGGGCAGUUGAAACUGGUUAUCUGGAGUGAGCGAGAAGUAGGCGGAAUGCGUGGUGUAGCGGGGAAAUGCAUAGAUAUCACGCAGAACUCCGGUUGCGAAGGCAGCAUGCCGGCGCUCAACUGACGCUCAUGCACGAAAGUGUGGGUAUCGAACAGGAUUAGAUACCCUUGUAGUC